AUAAUGGAGAGUUUGAUCCUGGCUCAGGACGAACGCUGGCGGCGUGCCUAAUACAUGCAAGUCGAGCGGAACCUUUGGAGCUUGCUCCAAAAGUUUAGCGGCGGACGGGUGAGUAACACGUGGGCAACCUGCCCUGCAGAUCGGGAUAACUCCGGGAAACCGGUGCUAAUACCGAAUAGUUUGUUUC
rnacentral:rRNA from 1 species